GACGACGUAGGUGGAAGGAGGAGCUGACGACCGGAGGCGAUGGGGACGAAGGAGCGGCGAGCAGUGGCGAGGGAGGCCAGGUAGAGGAGGUGGGAGUCCUCGCGGGAGAGGAUGACGAGGAGUGGAAGGGGGAGCAGGGGUGAGGGGCGGAAGGCGUGGAGGACGCGGGAGAGGUCCGGAUGGAUGUUUACGGCGGAAGCCUUGACGUGGAAGAUGACGGCCUCGGCGAGCAGCGGCGGAGGUCGGGGGCUGGUAGCGGCGCGGGUAGAGAGGCGGCGACGGCCUCGGCCAGCAGGGAGAAGGAGAGGAGCCGACGGCGGAAGUGGA
rnacentral:lncRNA from 1 species